CCUACGGGUGGCAGCAGUGGGGAAUAUUGGACAAUGGUGGCAACCCUGAUCCAGCCAUGCCGCGUGUGUGAAGAAGGCCCUCGGGUUGUAAAGCACUUUCAGUGAGGAAGAACGCCUGGUGGUUAAUACCCAUCAGGAAAGACAUCACUCACAGAAGAAGCACCGGCUAACUCCGUGCCAGCAGCCGCGGUAAUACGGAGGGUGCGAGCGUUAAUCGGAAUUACUGGGCGUAAAGCGCGCGUAGGUGGCUUGAUAAGCCGGUUGUGAAAGCCCCGGGCUCAACCUGGGAACGGCAUCCGGAACUGUCAAGCUAGAGUGCCGGAGAGGAAGGUAGAAUUGCCGGUGUAGCGGUGAAAUGCGUAGAGAUCGGGAGGAAUACCAGUGGCGAAGGCGGCCUUCUGGACUGACACUGACACUGAGGUGCGAAAGCGUGGGUAGCAAACAGGAUUAGAUACCCUUGUAGUC
rnacentral:rRNA from 1 species